CAGGUAGCUCAGUCGGUAGAGCAAAGGACUGAAAAUCCUUGUGUCGCCGGUUCGAUCCCGGCCCUG
rnacentral:tRNA from 1 species